UAAAUCAUUUAAGUUAACAGUUAUUCAAAGCACCUGAAAGAUUCAAAGAAAUAUAAAAGCUGAUCCAAAAUGUAUUUGAAUCUUUAUUUGGAAUGGAAACUUCAGAUGUUCACACUGUGAAUGUCAUGGUGGCCUGUCAGUUACUCUCCCCCUCCCCCACCUUCUCUGCCUUUGACACGACUAGCUGUUCUCACUCACCUCAUCACUGCUGCUGCCUUCUUAAGGAGUCUGUGGAUCUUCAGCCGACGCCAGUUCGUUGUUCCUCCCAUGGAAUUAUCCACUCUGAUACUCACCUGGUCGCAGUCCUCUGGUCACUCGUGCUUCGCUCCUGGAUCUCCUCGUCAAGACGCCUCCAGCCAGCUGACGCUCCACCUUCUGGGAAGACGCCAACACUCAUCUUCAGCCAAAUUAAAAUCUACUUCAGACUU